CUCCAUCAAAGGCAUACUGUAGGCCUGGCACGUCUUGUCUACUAGCUUCAAUAUGAAUCCGAUUAAAUGUGAUGGGGUCAAGGCCCCAUUUCAUCAGCACAUAACGGCGAUGAUGAUGAGGAGACCAUCUCGCUGGAUUCCAAAAGGCAUAAGGACCCAGAGUCAUUGGUGCACUGGACUGCACAAACAUAAGGAUAAAAGCCCCCUCAGGUGCCCAUGAGGCAGAUUUUGUAAAUAUGAAAUCUUUUUACAGCAUUAAUGUUCAGGUGAACAUAACUUUUUGAUCUUUUCCAUUGAACACUGGCAAAAUGGCCUGGCUCAGUCCAUGACUCCAGAAUCUUUUGGACCUCUGAAAUCUAUCAGCGCCUAUCACAAGGUGAAUUCUCUGGUGUGUUGCUGGUAGACAGGGGGUAAGGCUGCCAGCCGUUUUUCCUGACACCUUUCACAGACCCCCAGGAAGCAAAGCAGGCCUACAACUAUGCCCAUGCUAGGGCCAGAG